rnacentral:rRNA from 1 species
GAUGAACGCUGGCGGCGUGCUUAACACAUGCAAGUCGAACGGAAAGGCCCAAGCUUGCUUGGGUACUCGAGUGGCGAACGGGUGAGUAACACGUGGGUGAUCUGCCCUGCACUUCGGGAUAAGCCUGGGAAACUGGGUCUAAUACCGGAUAGGACCACUUUUUGGAUGGUGUGGUGGAAAGUUUUUCGGUGUGGGUUGAGCUCGCGGCCUAUCAGCUUGUUGGUGGGGUAAUGGCCUACCAAGGCGUCGACGGGUAGCCGGCCUGAGAGGGUGUACGGCGACAUUGGGACUGAGAUACGGCCCAGACUCCUACGGGAGGCAGCAGUGGGGAAUAUUGCACAAUGGGCGCAAGCCUGAUGCAGCGACGCCGCGUGGGGGAUGACGGCCUUCGGGUUGUAAACUCCUUUCGCUAGGGACGAAGCGCAAGUGACGGUACCUGGAGAAGAAGCACCGGCUAACUACGUG